rnacentral:rRNA from 1 species
UACGAAGGGGGCUAGCGUUGCUCGGAAUUACUGGGCGUAAAGCGCACGUAGGCGGAUUUGUAAGUCAGGGGUGAAAUCCCGGGGCUCAACCUCGGAACUGCCUUUGAUACUGCAAAUCUCGAGUCCGGAAGAGGUGAGUGGAAUUCCUAGUGUAGAGGUGAAAUUCGUAGAUAUUCGCAAGAACACCAGUGGCGAAGGCGGCUCACUGGCCCGAUACUGACGCUGAGGUGCGAAAGCGUGGGGAGCAAACAGG